CAGAAGGCAGAAGUGAAAGAGAGGGUGGAGAUUGCAUGAGAUGAACCUAUGGGCACACUGACGAAGUCACGACUGAUUGUGUGUUUUAAUGUGAGCAAGUGUGGCAGCACUUAUGUUAGUUGGAUUUGUGAUUAAACGCUUAGAAAUGAAGCUCUCCUGCCCUCUGAUCUGUGGGAUCAUUUUGUCCUGGAUUUGCUUCAGAGUUUCAAGUGAGAAUCUGUCUGUGAUUCAGAGUCCAUCCAGUGUGUGUGUUUAUGCUUUUCUCACAGUUUCAAGUGAGAAUCUGUCUGUGACUCAGAUUCCACCCAACAUCACUGUGAAUGAAGGAGAAUCUGCUCAAAUCAGCUGCUGCUGGAAUGAAACCAUACAGAAUGUUAAAGUUGCUUGGUACAUCAAUGAGAAAAAACAAAAGCAGGAUCUCCAAGAACAUAAAACACAGAACUGUGCAAUUCUGAACCUCACAAACAUACUUAAAAAUGCUUCAGGUCAUUAUGUUUGUGAAGUGACUCAAGACAUACCAGUCCUGCUUCAGGAGAAUGGUAGUGGAACAGUCAUAACUGUCAAUUACAUACUAGUAGAAACAACAACAACUGUCAGUGUUCACACACUUUUCAACCCAGCAGCUGAAAGUCAGGAGUCAGGAGAAAAAACGGAUGAAGACCUGGAGGCCGGAGAGACACAGAGGAGUGAAACUGAAGUAGCGAAACAGGGUGAGAAUGUUUCUGAACAGGAGAAAAGGAGGGUCAACAACCAGAAACCUGAAGUUACUACUGCAGCAACAGAAGAAGAAAAAGAAAAUGAAGAAAAACAGAUUGAUGUAGUUGUAGACACUGAACAAGGUACAUCUCCAAUGCGUGACGAUGAAAAAAACAAGACUGAAUCUGUUCUGAACACUGAUGAAAAGACAUCUAAUGACUGA
ensembl:lncRNA